UACGUAGGUGACAAGCGUUGUCCGGAUUUACUGGGCGUAAAGCGCACGUAGGCGGAUUUGUAAGUCAGGGGUGAAAUCCCGGGGCUCAACCUCGGAACUGCCUUUGAUACUGCAAAUCUCGAGUCCGGAAGAGGUGAGUGGAAUUCCUAGUGUAGAGGUGAAAUUCGUAGAUAUUAGGAAGAACACCAGUGGCGAAGGCGGCUCACUGGUCCGGUACUGACGCUGAGGUGCGAAAGCGUGGGGAGCAAACAGG
rnacentral:rRNA from 1 species